UAGUGAGAAGAGUAAGUCAAGAGCAGACUUGUUCAAAAAGAACCAGAAGAGAAUGCUUGGGGAGAUAGAAGUGUGAGAUAGUUCUCAAGCUAAGAAAGUUGUAAAAGCUAAGAACUAGCAUCAAAUGAUGGAUGAAACACAAGGUAGUUGUUGAAAAGUCAAACACUUGGUGAUAUGAACACAAACGUUCAAUAUGACAAACCCAUGCCAAGUAAAGAGAAAAUGAAAACUGGUGAUUGUUGCGGAAAUCGUCCAGGAUUCCUCGACCAGGACUUGAAAUCGUCGAGGGAAAAUAAUCGGUUCUGAGGAAUCGUCGAUCCGGACUUGGA